rnacentral:rRNA from 1 species
GAUGAACGCUGACAGAAUGCUUAACACAUGCAAGUCGAUGGGGAAGUGGUGCUUGCACCAUGGCAACCAUGGCGGACGGGUGAGUAACGCGUAAGGGACUUACCUGCAGGACUGGGAUAACAGGGGGAAACUCCUGACAAGACCGGAUAAUGUCAUGGAGCUGCAUGGCUUUAUGAUGAAAGGAGACGCCUGCGGAGAGCCUUGCGUCCUAUUAGCUAGUUGGUGAGGUAAUGGCUCACCAAGGCGAAGAUAGGUAGCCGGCCUGAGAGGGUGGACGGCCACAAGGGGACUGAGAUACGGCCCUUACUCCUACGGGAGGCAGCAGUGGGGAAUAUUGGACAAUGGGGGCAACUCUGAUCCAGCAAUUCUGUGUGCACGAAGAAGGUUUUCGGAUUGUAAAGUGCUUUCAGCAGGGAAGAAGUAAGUGACGGUACCUGCAGAAGAAGCGACGGCUAAAUACGU